rfam:TPA: Bos taurus chromosome 29, whole genome shotgun sequence.
UCCCUGGUGGCUCAGAUGGUAAAGCAUCUGCCUACAAUGCAGAGGACCCGGGUUCAAUCCCUGGGUCGGGAA